AUUGAACGCUGGCGGCAUGCCUAACACAUGCAAGUCGAGCGAGCGGCGGACGGGUGAGUAAUGUCUGGUAAACUGCCUGAUGGAGGGGGAUAACUACUGGAAACGGUAGCUAAUACCGCAUACCAUCCGAUUUGCCCAGAUGGGAUUAGCUAGUCGGUGGGGUAACGGCUCACCUAGGCGACGAUCCCUAGCUGGUCUGAGAGGAUGACCAGCCACACUGGAACUGAGACACGGCCCAGACUCCUACGGGAGGCAGCAGUGGGGAAUAUUGCACAAUGGGCGCAAGCCUGAUGCAGCCAUGCCGCGUGUGUGAAGAAGGUCUUCGGGUUGUAAAGCACUGUCAGCGGGGAGGCGUUACCCGAAGAAGAAGCACCGGCUAACUCCGUGCCAGCAGCCGCGGUAAUAC
rnacentral:rRNA from 1 species